GCCGAGGUGACGAAAUUGGUAGACGUAGGGGACUUAAAAUCCCCAGCCCUUAAAAGCGUGUGGGUUCGAGUCCCACCCUCGGCA
rnacentral:tRNA from 1 species